AGUGAACGCUGGCGGUAGGCCUAACACAUGCAAGUCGAACGGCAGCACAGUAAGAGCUUGCUCUUACGGGUGGCGAGUGGCGGACGGGUGAGGAAUACAUCGGAAUCUACUUUUUCGUGGGGGAUAACGUAGGGAAACUUACGCUAAUACCGCAUACGACCUACGGGUGAAAGCAGGGGAUCUUCGGACCUUGCGCGAUUGAAUGAGCCGAUGUUGGAUUAGCUAGUUGGCGGGGUAAAGGCCCACCAAGGCGCCGAUCCGUAGCUGGUCUGAGGGGAUGAUCGGCCACACUGGAACUGAGACAGGGUCCAGACUCCUACGGGAGGCAGCAGUGGGGAAUAUUGGACAAUGGGCGCAAGCCUGAUCCAGCCAUACCGCGUGGGUGAAGAAGGCCUUCGGGUUGUAAAGCCCUUUUGUUGGGAAAGAAAAGCAGCAGGUUAAUACCCCGCUGUUCUGACGGUACCCAAAGAAUAAGCACCGGCUAACUUCGUG
rnacentral:rRNA from 1 species